rnacentral:tmRNA from 1 species
GGGGUAGUACUGGUUUCGACAGGGGUCUUGCAGCUGGAGAAGCUAUCCGAAGGACGGUCGCGUUAAACCUCAAACCUAAAUUUAAACGCAAACGAUAAUUACGCGUUAGCAGCAGCCUAACGGCCACUGCCGUUGGCCCGGUUCUACCCAUGGUCCCGGUUCCCAACGUCAUCAUCAUGGGAAACGACAUCCGCAAAGCUUUGAGCUGAUGGGCGUAAUAUGAAGCUACUAAAACCGCAAGACUGUGCUUCGCCGUGCGGCAGAGGGAAUGUUAAUAGAAGUACUAUGAUAGUAGAAGUACAGGGAAUAGGCUUUUGGACACGGGUUCGACUCCCGUCUACUCCACUA